CAGUCGCCGCGGUAAUACGAAGGUCCCGAGCGUUGUCCGGAAUCACUGGGCGUAAAGGGAGCGUAGGCGGCGUGGUAAGUCAGAUGUGAAAUCCCGGGGCUCAACCCCGGAACUGCAUCCGAUACUGCCGUGCUAGAGGAUUGGAGAGGUAGCUGGAAUUCUUGGUGUAGCAGUGAAAUGCGUGGAGAUCAAGAGGAACACUCGUGGCGAAAGCGAGCUACUGGACAAUAUCUGACGCUGAGGCUCGAAGGCCAGGGUAGCGAAAGUGAUUAGAUACCCCUGUAGUCCCUGUCUCUUAUAC
rnacentral:rRNA from 1 species